UACGUAGGGACCGAGCGUUGUCCGGAUUCAUUGGGCGUAAAGAGCUCGUAGGCGGCUGCUCAAGUCGAAUGUGAAAACUCGAGGCUCAACCUCGAGCCUGCAUUCGAUACUGGGCGGCUAGAGUCUGGUAGGGGGAUCUGGUAUUCCUGGUGUAGCGGUGGAAUGCGCAGAUAUCAGGAGGAACACCGGUGGCGAAGGCGGGAUCCUGGGCCGUAACUGACGCUGAGGAGCGAAAGCAUGGGGAGCGAACAGG
rnacentral:rRNA from 1 species